ensembl:lncRNA uncharacterized LOC111932519
CCACAGAUCAGAGAGCUCUGCUGAACUUCCUAAAUGCCAGUGAGCCUGAGAUGCUGGAUGUGUGGGAGCUGGAGAGCUCUGAGCAUCCUGAGAGCUCAGCAGCUUCUGGGCUCAAAGGCUGCUAGGGAACUGUAGGAGGGAAGGGCAGCAGCAGAAGAAAUGAGGGGUUAAGAAAAGCAGGUUUUGCCAUCCUGCAGAAUGGCUUUGUGGGGACGUGGCUGGAAAUCAGCAGUGGUUGUUAGGUGCUUUAGGGGCAGGGAGUUUAUAGGGAUCUAAACGCCUUCCCAUACAUCCAAAAGGCCAGUGGAGGCAUCGUCACCUGAGAACAUCUUGAUGCCAAACCUGUGGAUAAUUCCCAGCUGGGAAUGCAGUCACACUUGUACAGAAGUGAGCAUGAGGGGAGAGGUGGUAAAUGUGUGACAUGAUCUCUCCCCCACCACCUGCCUGUCCUAGGGCACCAUUCUCCAUCCUGGGCCAAGCUGCUCCAUCAGUCUGACUGGUCAUUUGCUGCCAGGUCCCAGUGAAGUCCAUAGCUGAAUGUCUUGGGGCAUGUGUGGGGGCAAGACUGGAUGCGUAAAGUGAGCACUGUGUUCUACUCUUUGCAGGCUUCCUUGCUGUAUCCCACUGAAGGGGAUAAGAAGAAGGAAUCACUGGGACUGCCUUUGAUCCCCCCGAUACGCAGGGCAGUAAGUCCCGAUGUUAGCAGUGCUGCAGGGUCUCUGCAAAGCUCUCUGCAGCUGGAUGUGCAAGAGUCCCAGGAGAUGAGGUCCACACCCAGCAGCAGAAGUGAAGAUGAUGACUCUGAAGAAGGAGGCCUCCCACUGAGCCAAGCCAAGGGGACAGAUCGUCCCACCAGUCCUGGUCAUAUGAGUGAUGAAGACCUGAGGGACAGCUCUGGAAAGAUCCGUCCUGCAUUGUGCAAGUUGGCUCAAAAGAACUUAGAGCGGAAGAAAAUGGAGCUGUUGGAGAAAGAGCUCAAGAGAAGGAGACAAACAGAAACAUCCUUGCAGCUGCCUCCACAGACAGCUGACCCUGGGGAUGCAGAAGAAGCAAGCUUUAGCCUACCGCCUGUCGAUGGCACAGCUUCCAGUGUGCGGAGAAAAUACCCUGGUAGUGCCUUGAAGGAGAAGGUCUUGAGGAAGCAGAACAACAUGCCCUCACUGCCCAAUAUGCCCAUCAUCCAUGGGAUUGGCAGCUUCCCACGCAACUCCUCAGGUAAGCCUGCUCUGAGGCAGCUUUUUCCCACACGGGUUUUUCCUUGCCCAUGGGGCACAAACUGCCACCUGCCUCACCCAGCACAGCUGGGAUCUUGGGUCCAUAGCCUGUCCUGAGAAUGAACAGCAAAUGUACUUCUGAGUUAGUCCAGCUCUGCAGUAGUGGAGCAGUUGGUUCUUAGAGAUCCAUUGGGAAGUUGAGCUGAAUAAAGUAGUGGUAAAGGCCUAAGCUCUGGCUUUU